rnacentral:rRNA from 1 species
GAUGAACGCUGGCGGCGUGCUUAACACAUGCAAGUCGAACGACGAAGCCCAGCUUGCUGGGUGGAUUAGUGGCGAACGGGUGAGUAACACGUGAGUAACCUGCCCUUAACUCUGGGAUAAGCCUGGGAAACUGGGUCUAAUACCGGAUAGGAGCGCCUACCGCAUGGUGGGUGUUGGAAAGAUUUAUCGGUUUUGGAUGGACUCGCGGCCUAUCAGCUUGUUGGUGAGGUAAUGGCUCACCAAGGCGACGACGGGUAGCCGGCCUGAGAGGGUGACCGGCCACACUGGGACUGAGACACGGCCCAGACUCCUACGGGAGGCAGCAGUGGGGAAUAUUGCACAAUGGGCGAAAGCCUGAUGCAGCGACGCCGCGUGAGGGAUGACGGCCUUCGGGUUGUAAACCUCUUUCAGUAGGGAAGAAGCGAAAGUGACGGUACCUGCAGAAGAAGCACCGGCUAACUACGUG